rnacentral:rRNA from 1 species
UACGUAGGGUGCAAGCGUUUAAUCGGAAUUACUGGGCGUAAAGCGUGCGCAGGCGGUUAUGUAAGACAGAUGUGAAAUGCCCGGGCUUAACCUGGGAACUGCAUUUGUGACUGCAUGGCUAGAGUUUGGCAGAGGGGGGGUAGAAUUCCACGUGUAGCAGUGAAAUGCGUAGAUAUCAAGUGGAACACCAGUGGCGAAGGCGAGUCCCUGGACAACUCCUGACACUGAGGCACGAAAGCUAGGGGAGCAAACAGG